UACGUAGGGGGCGAGCGUUGUCCGGAGUUACUGGGCGUAAAGCGUGCGCAGGCGGUUAUGUAAGACAGUUGUGAAAUCCCCGGGCUCAACCUGGGAACUGCAUCUGUGACUGCAUAGCUAGAGUACGGUAGAGGGGGAUGGAAUUCCGCGUGUAGCAGUGAAAUGCGUAGAUAUGCGGAGGAACACCGAUGGCGAAGGCAAUCCCCUGGACCUGUACUGACGCUCAUGCACGAAAGCGUGGGGAGCAAACAGG
rnacentral:rRNA from 1 species